UAGCCCGACGUUGAGAGACUGAUCGGCCACAUUGGGGACUGAGACACGGGCCCAAACUACCUACGGGAGGCAGCAGUAGGGAAUCUUCCACAAUGGACGAAAGUCUGAUGGAGCAAACGCCGCGUGAGUGAAGAAGGUUUUCGGAUCGUAAAGCUCUGUUGUUGGUGAAGAAGGAUAGAGGUAGUAACUGGCCCUUUAUUUGACGGUAAUCAACCAGAAAGUCACGGGCUAACUACGUGCCAGCAGCCGCGGUAAAU
rnacentral:rRNA from 1 species